GAAAUGCGAAAAGACGUGUGAAUUGCAGAAUUCAGUGAAUCAUCGAAUCUUUGAACGCACAUUGCGCCCCUUGGUAUUCCAUGGGGCAUGCCUGUUCGAGCGUCAUUUGUACCCUCAAGCUCUGCUUGGUGUUGGGUGUUUGUCCCGUCUCCGCGCGUGGACUCGCCCCAAAGUGAUUGGCAGCCGGCGUACUGGUCCCGGAGCGCAGCACAUGUCGCGCAAACGAGUGCCUUGGUACGGCGGCGUCCAUAAGCCCCUCUCUCACGCUCUUGACCUCGGAUCAGGUAGGGAUACCCGCUGAACUUAAGC
rnacentral:misc_RNA from 1 species